rnacentral:rRNA from 1 species
UACGAAGGGGCUAGCGUUGCUCGGAAUCACUGGGCGUAAAGGGUGCGUAGGCGGGUCUUUAAGUCAGGGUGAAAUCCUGGAGCUCAACUCCAGAACUGCCUUUGAUACUGAAGAUCUUGAGUUCGGAGAGGUGAGUGGAACUGCGAGUGUAGAGGUGAAAUUCGUAGAUAUUCGCAAGAACACCAGUGGCGAAGGCGGCUCACUGGCCCGAUACUGACGCUGAGGCACGAAAGCGUGGGGAGCAAACAGGG